rnacentral:rRNA from 1 species
UACGUAGGGUGCGAGCGUUGUCCGGAAUUAUUGGGCAUAAAGAGCUUGUAGGCGGUCUGUCGCGUCUGCUGUGAAAAUCCGGGGCUCAACCCCGGACUUGCAGUGGGUACGGGCAGACUAGAGUGUGGUAGGGGAGACUGGAAUUCCUGGUGUAGCGGUGAAAUGCGCAGAUAUCAGGAGGAACACCGAUGGCGAAGGCAGGUCUCUGGGCCACUACUGACGCUGAGAAGCGAAAGCAUGGGGAGCGAACAGG